CCUACGGGGGGCAGCAGUAGGGAAUAUUGCUCAAUGGGGGAAACCCUGAAGCAGCAACGCCGCGUGGAGGAUGAAGGUUUUCGGAUUGUAAACUCCUUUUGUUAGAGAAGAUAAUGACGGUAUCUAACGAAUAAGCACCGGCUAACUCCGUGCCAGCAGCCGCGGUAAUACGGAGGGUGCAAGCGUUACUCGGAAUCACUGGGCGGAAAGAGCGCGUAGGCGGGAUAGCAGGUCGGAGGUGAAACCCUAUGGCUUAACCAUAGAACUGCAUUUGAAACUGUUAUUCUAGAGUAUGGGAGAGGUAGGUGGAAUUCGUGGUGGAGGGGUAAAAUCCGUAGAGAUCAAGAGGAAUACUCAUUGCGAAGGCGACCUGCUAGAACAUAACUGACGCUGAUGCGCGAAAGCGUGGGGAGCAAACAGGAUUAGAUACCCGAGUAGUC
rnacentral:rRNA from 1 species